GAGGGUUAAUUCCUCGGCUCCAGGGCGUAAUAGCACGAAAAUUCAUGCGUUAGCACUCCUAUUGACGAUUCUGAUAUGUACUGUCUGUGCUACAGGGCGUAAAUGAAGAAGAAAAGCUAUGUGCUUCCACACUAUUUCUACCCGGCAACCAGUUCUUGAGAACUAUGAGUGGGUCACUUGUAGUGGACAGUGGUCAACAAGUCAGGACGACAGUAUUAGGGACACUCAGCUCAGCAUUCCUUAUGGUUAACUGAUACAGAAUGUUGCCAGUGUUAGGUGGACUGUUGUAUUCACUUGAUAACAACUUGAAAUAUU